rnacentral:rRNA from 1 species
UGGGGGGGGGGUGCCCUAAUACAUGCAAGUCGAACGAACUCUGGUAUUGAUUGGUGCUUGCAUCAUGAUUUACAUUUGAGUGAGUGGCGAACUGGUGAGUAACACGUGGGAAACCUGCCCAGAAACGGGGGAUAACACCUGGAAACAGAUGCUAAUACCGCAUAACAACUUGGACCGCAUGGUCCGAGCUUGAAAGAUGGCUUCGGCUAUCACUUUUGGAUGGUCCCGCGGCGUAUUAGCUAGAUGGUGGGGUAACGGCUCACCAUGGCAAUGAUACGUAGCCGACCUGAGAGGGUAAUCGGCCACAUUGGGACUGAGACACGGCCCAAACUCCUACGGGAGGCAGCAGUAGGGAAUCUUCCACAAUGGACGAAAGUCUGAUGGAGCAACGCCGCGUGAGUGAAGAAGGGUUUCGGCUCGUAAAACUCUGUUGUUAAAGAAGAACAUAUCUGAGAGUAACUGUUCAGGUAUUGACGGUAUUUAACCAGAAAGCCACGGCUAACUACGUGCCAGCAGCCGCGGUAAUACGUAGGUGGCAAGCGUUGUCCGGAUUUAUUGGGCGUAAAGCGAGCGCAGGCGGUUUUUUAAGUCUGAUGUGAAAGCCUUCGGCUCAACCGAAGAAGUGCAUCGGAAACUGGGAAACUUGAGUGCAGAAGAGGACAGUGGAACUCCAUGUGUAGCGGUGAAAUGCGUAGAUAUAUGGAAGAACACCAGUGGCGAAGGCGGCUGUCUGGUCUGUAACUGACGCUGAGGCUCGAAAGUAUGGGUAGCAAACAGGAUUAGAUACCCUGGUAGUCCAUACCGUAAACGAUGAAUGCUAAGUGUUGGAGGGUUUCCGCCCUUCAGUGCUGCAGCUAACGCAUUAAGCAUUCCGCCUGGGGAGUACGGCCGCAAGGCUGAAACUCAAAGGAAUUGACGGGGGCCCGCACAAGCGGUGGAGCAUGUGGUUUAAUUCGAAGCUACGCGAAGAACCUUACCAGGUCUUGACAUACUAUGCAAAUCUAAGAGAUUAGACGUUCCCUUCGGGGACAUGGAUACAGGUGGUGCAUGGUUGUCGUCAGCUCGUGUCGUGAGAUGUUGGGUUAAGUCCCGCAACGAGCGCAACCCUUAUUAUCAGUUGCCAGCAUUAAGUUGGGCACUCUGGUGAGACUGCCGGUGACAAACCGGAGGAAGGUGGGGAUGACGUCAAAUCAUCAUGCCCCUUAUGACCUGGGCUACACACGUGCUACAAUGGAUGGUACAACGAGUUGCGAACUCGCGAGAGUAAGCUAAUCUCUUAAAGCCAUUCUCAGUUCGGAUUGUAGGCUGCAACUCGCCUACAUGAAGUCGGAAUCGCUAGUAAUCGCGGAUCAGCAUGCCGCGGUGAACACGUUCCCGGGCCUUGUACACACCGCCCGUCACAGCCAUGAGAGUUUGUAACACCCAAAGUCCGUGUGGGGUAACCUUUUAGGAACCAGCCGCCUUAAGGGGGGACCAGAA